CCAGAGCUGAGAGAAAAAGCUAGGCGGAUUGGGGAAACAGCCACAGCUGGGGCCACGCCCCAAUCAGGCCUCUGCUGGCCCUAUAAAAGGGCUGUGAGCCAGGUGCUCUGGAGAGUCUCUCUCUACCUGUGGAAAAAGAUAGAUCCAGCUGCCUGGGAGCUGGGAAGGGCCAGAGGUGCUCCAGCCUGGAAAACCCUCAGGCUGCAAGCCUUGCUAAAGGCCAGGAAAGGUACUGAGGCUAGUGAGGUGUAGCCUGGGAAUAGGCAGAGGCAGCUGGUCCACCCCCCUUGCUGAUGAGUAGUUUACAGACUGCAGCCUGCCCCGGUGUUUUUUAAGUCUGUCUUCCUUGGGAAGGAAUGCAGUGGAGAAGAGCCCUGAUUGAUUCAUUUUUUCCAGCAGUGGUUGAGAUUCAGCUGGAGCUGGUAGAGGUGGCAAUGUCAUCUGGGUCCCCCACUCUGGCCUGAUCUGGUACCAUGACCUCCUUAGAUACAGCAACGUAGAUUGGGUUUGUUUUUUUCCUGCGCAGAAGGAGGGUCUCCACAGAAUGGUGGGGAAAAAAGGUUGUACAAGGCCAAAGAGGGAGGGGGGAGAGAAGAGAAUGGGUUAACUCAACGCUUCAGCUUGGCCUAAAGAUAAGAUGCUGGCUCCAGUCCAAGGUCACUGCGCUUGAACAAACUCACUACAGCCAAGAAGCCUGCCGCUGGAUCCAUAUUUCACCGAACCUCAGCUAACCAGGAGAGGAAAAAAAACAAGCCAGACAGGACUGCAGAGAUUGCAAAAACUAGGAGAAUGGCAAAGGCCAGCGAGAGGGAAAACAGUCUUGCAUCUCUAAAGCCAGUGUGUUUUGGGAAAGCUGAGGAAGCCAUGGAAGGCUGGUUUGAACUGGUAUACAAGCUUGAGCAAUAAAGGUCCCAGAAGGAAAUGCCCCCAAGAGACCCCAGGGACUUAAACCCUCCCAGGACCUGAGGCAAAUCAGAGAUCAACAGCAGACCCUGGAUGACCCAUGCCCAGGACAAGAACUCCCAUCCCCCACCCCUCUUACGUUACACCCAGGCUUGGCCAGCCUUGUGUAGUGCAGAUGUGAGUAUGAAAGUGGGUUAGGGCUUGGGGCAUGAACACUUUCUUCUGUCCUCUGAGUGACAUAGGGAACCCCCCAGCACUCUCCACUGGCUUAUGUUAUCAAUAAAGCAUUAAAACUGUU